GCCAGCGUGGUAUAGUGGUUUGAGUGCUGGAGUCUGACUCUGAAGAGCAGGGUUCGAAUCCCAGCUCGGCCA